GGUGGGUGCUAGCUAGAGGGCAUUUUUUUUUUGAUGCUAGCAAGGAGAGCCAUGACGAAGCGGGGGUGGUUUUUUAGGGGUGCUAGCAAGGAUGGGCGAGCGAGGCAGGGGCUGAGGGGGAGGGAGGGUGCGGAGCGCGGAGGAACGUGGCGAGGCCGUCGGCGAGCGGUAGGCGGCAGCGGCCGCUGGUGGUCGUCGCGGGCAGCGCGGAGAGGCGCGCGGUGAGCCUCCGGGGUCGGUCCGACGCGUCGGCAGGAGGUGUUGGGCCCGGAGGAGGAGCUGGAGCGGAGAGGCACGCUGUUGGCCGCAGCGGCGGCCGUCGCGGGCAGCGCGGAGAGGCGCGGAGAGGCGCGCGGUCAGCCUCGGGGGUCGGUCCGGCGCGUCGGCAGGAGGUGUUGGGCCCGGAGGAGGAGCUGGAGCGGAGAGGCACGCUGUUGGCCGCAGCGGCGGCCGCCGGUGCCCAGGUCGCGGCGGAAGCAGGAGGUGGAAGAGGAUUUCGCGCGCAAGCGGCGCCCGCGACCUCCACCGCGCCGCCAGGAGCGGGAGUUCGAGUGACUCCUGCCGCAGGAACGGCUCGUCGAGCUGCUCUCGUCCUCCGAGCGGAGCGACGGUUACAGUGACUUGACUUAACCGUCGGUAGAGUCGGUGCAGAAAGUCGUGCAUUGGCCGCUUGGGUAAGUCGUCGAGGACCCGUUUGUCGAAACUGGGGACAAUUGUGCAAUACUCCUAGGUACCGGAGAAGAAGAUAAAGAAGUCACAAAGACGACGUAGAAGGACUGUGACCAGGAGUUGAUCGAAUAAAACGAGAAGAAAGACUUCUAGGUACCGGACGAAAAGGUUAACAACUCACCCAUGUCAUCAGAAGUAUAGUAGUGGAUUAACUAACGUUUGUUUUAAGAGUAGGCAAAGUCUAUGCUAUCAGUUCUGUGUAUUGCGCCAUGUGACGUUGAUGUCUUUCCGUACCCUGUGCGUGGCUAAAUUCAGGUACAGUCCCCGUAGUGGACAGAGUGCAAGCGUCCUCCUUCUUCGAGGCUCAAGCGGCCUCCAUGUGUUUGUAGGCAGCUCGUGAGGUUACAGCGGAUGCCGCAGACGUGGUCUCCACGGUUUCCGCAGAGUCCACCUCCGCUUCCUCCAAGAAGAUUAAGGAUUCCGUGGUCUGACCUGUAAGGAUACAACUGAUGGUAAAUACCAGUUAUUUCAACAGGCACAAACAAAAACUAACGAGUUGAUUUAUAGACUUCGGUUUACUACAUACGUAAGUACAAAGAGGAGAUUCCGUCUUUCUGACCUGUAAGGAUACCUACGGGUCAUGUUUGCUUCUACCCAAGGGCUAACAAGGAUCUAUAAAGUCUCGUUGAUCUCACCAGAAUGGACUGUUCGAGGUUACAACACGACUUCAUAAAACUUGUUCGAACAGGAAACGGAAUACGACCUUGUUCCGUGGAAGAUAAGGGGUACCCGUGGUUCUUACGCUUCUGUAACUGCUAAGCUCGUUUACAUCCAAGUCCGAAGUUCUAACUCGGCUCGCGGGAUGGUCGUCUAGCCCUAUUACGUAUAGUCGCUAACCUAUAAAGACCGGGAUGUCAAUUGGGAAAACAAAAAAGGACAUACCACUCCCGCUCUAUUUUCUAUACGAAAGACAAACACGACUCGUACCUCGAACCCAUCACUAUCUGUGGAAGAGACCAGACCUCAAGGUGUUGUCUCUACCGACCUAAAACGCCUUGCCCUCCUAUAAAAGUGUUCGGGUUCGGCUGGUGUACCGUGAAACUUUACGUGAAUAUCCUUCGACAACCAAGACUUCUUGUUCUCCCUAGUUGUAAAGAGAUUAGAGUAGUGCGGUUGUUUGACUGCUUCCAUGGUGACACCAUAAAUCUACGACCGCUUUGGCUGCCGCAUGUAGCCGUUUAGCAAGUCCCACCUACUAAAACUUCCGCUCGAGCUGCCGACGUUAUAGUCCCUUCGGGAUGACUUGAUGACGUCCAAGUCGAAUGGCACAUCAUAAAAGAAAUGUUGUUCCGGAGUGUGCUCGUUUUGACAGUAGAACAACAAAUCAAAACCGGGCCCUGACGUUAAAAAGGGGAAUAACGUAGGGAAUCACGUAUUUUAUUUUAUAUAUUACACGUAUUUUCGACUUUUGUUGGUAAUGCUAGUAUCAUCCGCUUGACUUUAACAUCCCUAUAUUUCGUCGUGGACUUGUAUGUUUUCGACCGGUGUUGAGACAGAAGUUAAGGUAGAACAAAGGUCUAAAGUCCUCAUCUAGUAGUGGUGGUAGUGCUGCUAGUCCGAGAAACAGUCACGUUUAUUGUCUGAUUGUGGUGUUCCUGAAGUAAUUGGAAUCGGUGAAGAAUACCCAUGUACUCUUGAUUUUUUUAAGUAGACAAUUUUAAACAAAAACACUGACAAACCUGAUUAAGUACACGUAUUAAAUAUAAAAGUUAAUCUGACUAAAUAACAUCAAAAUAGUUACUUCAUAUAAUUCUACACCCGUAAUAUAGCUUUCAAAACAAGAUGUGCGCUCCAGUACACUCGAGCCCACUUGUCAUUUUAUUUAUUUUUUUACCUUUUUGUUAAGUUUUUUACACUAAAGAAAAACAUACUCUGUGUCUUUUUUACAAAUAACCGAACGUUUUAAAGUUAUGAUAGAAAGAACUGACUAACAAACACCAGACGGUACUCGGGUGCUGCAUGGGUAGACGUAGACGGAGCGGAACUCCGGUGUCGUCGUGGGGACGGGAAGACGAGGACGACCGCUGGCGUUGGGAGACCGCCGUCGCUGUGGCGAGAGCACACGACCGGAACGACAGAGUAGAGGAGAGCGAGAGUACAAACUCAGACUACAAUCGCAAUACACACACACCUACCUAUACUACGAUGGUGCCACACACAUGUUUAGAUAAAAACCAAAUAAAAAGAAACCUCAUAACGACAACCUCUACUCGAAUUCUCCGCUUUCUCAUUUCUAGACCAUUCGACAAACAUAACGAAGUCCUCUUAGAAAAUAGUGACAAAAACCCUGACAUAAAUACAGUUUCUCCGUACAUCCCUCGACCUUGUUUAAACAAUGAAGAGUACCGGUGAAAAAACUUGUACUAAUAACUCGAACUGAUACGCCUCCAUCAUUUUUUUAUAGUCACACUACCCGAACUCUCUAUAGUACAUUAGGGAAAAUAACUCCUUUAAUUCCUCUAGACACGCUCAUUA
rnacentral:rRNA from 1 species